rnacentral:rRNA from 1 species
CAUGCAGUCGAACGGUAACAUUUCUAGCUUGCUAGAAGAUGACGAGUGGCGGACGGGUGAGUAAUGCUUGGGAACUUGCCUUUGCGAGGGGGAUAACAGUUGGAAACGACUGCUAAUACCGCAUAAUGUCUUCGGACCAAACGGGGCUUCGGCUCCGGCGCAAAGAGAGGCCCAAGUGAGAUUAGCUAGUUGGUAAGGUAACGGCUUACCAAGGCGACGAUCUCUAGCUGUUCUGAGAGGAAGAUCAGCCACACUGGGACUGAGACACGGCCCAGACUCCUACGGGAGGCAGCAGUGGGGAAUAUUGCACAAUGGGGGAAACCCUGAUGCAGCCAUGCCGCGUGUGUGAAGAAGGCCUUCGGGUUGUAAAGCACUUUCAGUUGUGAGGAAAAGUUAGUAGUUAAUACCUGCUAGCCGUGACGUUAACAACAGAAGAAGCACCGGCUAACUCCGUGCCAGCAGCCGCGGUAAUACGGAGGGUGCGAGCGUUAAUCGGAAUUACUGGGCGUAAAGCGCACGCAGGCGGUUUGUUAAGCUAGAUGUGAAAGCCCCGGGCUCAACCUGGGAUGGUCAUUUAGAACUGGCAGACUAGAGUCUUGGAGAGGGGAGUGGAAUUCCAGGUGUAGCGGUGAAAUGCGUAGAUAUCUGGAGGAACAUCAGUGGCGAANGCGACUCCCUGGCCAAAGACUGACGCUCAUGUGCNNNNNUGUGGGUAGCGAGCAGGAUUAGAUACCCUGGUAGUCCACACCGUAAACGCUGUCUACUAGCUGUGUGUGCCUUUAANGCGUGCGUAGCGAANCUAACGCGCUAAGUAGACCGCCUGGGGAGUANNGCCGCAAGGUUAAAACUCAAAUGAANUGANNGGGNCCCGCACAAGCGGNGGAGCAUGUGNUUU